AGUGUUCAUUGCUUCAGACACAGUGGAAGAGAGGAACUGGAGCUGUGUCAGCCUUGAGCAUGACUCCUCAUCUAGAAGGGGCUCCUUGAUGCUCCACCCUAUUUCCCAGUUUCCCAUCCAGACUCCCAGUAAAGCAAGAGGAGUUUUGAGUGGUGGAGGCCCAAGUAAAGGCAAAUUUGACAAGGAAGGAUCUCAAUCAGAAGAAUAUAGUCAUGGAUGUCUAACGUGGCCAUUUGGAAAUACUCAGAUUUGUGAGGUCUAUGGAGAAAGAGAAAGAAAGGAUAGUUCUGGCAGAUCAAAUAAAAACAACGAAAAAAAGAGAAUGAUGAGAAAAUGGAGGCCAAUGCCUGGGCCAAUUAGUUGGGUGGUCCUGCAGUGACUCAGUGGAGAUAGAAUUAGGUAAGUCUCAAAUCAGGUUUUCCACCAGCCCUUUAAUCUACUGCAGUCAUUAAAAUAAGCUGCAGCUCACAAACUGAGCCGGUAAGAAGCAAAAAGCCCAGGCAGUCAGUGACCAUUUCAUGCUUCAUUUCUGGUUUCAGAUAGCUCAGCCUUUUAAAUUCCUGGCGUAUUUACUGGUUAUUGGAAAUUACAUAGAACACAUCAUGUAACUUAUCAGAAUUGCCAGUAUUUCACAACCUUAAUUCAAUUGUUUCCCCACCUAACAAAGGAAAUGAAUUAAGCGUUUGACAGGUUCUUCCCUCCUGGGUUGGGAGCGGUUUCCAGGUGUAUUCCCUGAGUAGCUGACUCUCUCACAUCAGCAAACUCCUGCCCAUCCCAUUCCCUCAGAUUUUCACUUCCUGGAUGAGUUUCCUCUUGAAGAGUUAGCUAGACCCUUACAAGAGCAGGGCAUCCUGUUUCACAUCUGAUAUUAAUCACUUUGAUUCUCUUCCGUGACUCUCUUAAGUCUAUUGUCCAUUGGAAUCUGUAGGGGAAACUCUGUGUUUGUCUGCCAGAAGUAGAUGCUUGUGGAAGCAGCUUAAUGUACAGGGGCAAAUAGUUAUCUGUGUAGCUGUACUCCUCAGAGCCUUUAAUAUGCUAAUAUAAGGGAUGAACUUCCAAGAGAUAAAUAUCAUAGACAGAAUUCCUAAAAUGUGUUUGACCACAGAACUCUUUUUUUCAAAGAAUGUCUCAAGAAAUUAGAGAUCUAGAUUUGAAUCUUAGCUCCUCUUAAUUAUUAGAGUCCUGUUUUUAUUAACUUUUUUUUGCCCCUCUUUCAUGUCUAUAAAGGUGAAUUUGUCUACUUCACACGGAUAUAGAAAUUAGCUGCAUGUAAAGGGCAUAAAGAAGGGCCUUGAUAAAGGUUGAUUCUCUUUUUAGAGAAACGAUAAUGGUAUAAUGGAUCCAAUGAUUUUUUUCUGGUUUAGUAAUUUUUGAAGCAUUACUUAUAAGAUGGCUUUAGUGGCUCUACAGUUGGUUUACCAUUUUCCCAAAUGCCUGUAUGAAAAAAGUUAACAAAAACUUCAUCAUUUCACUGUAUACAGAAACUAUCCAUAUCUUUAAAAGGCAAAAAAUGAGUUUGUGUUUUACGAAGGUCCACCUAGAAAAACAGUUGUUGCUAAACACUUGGUAUUUUCACUUGCUUAGUCAUGGAGACAGUGGCUGGGUCAGAUUAAUGCUCUGUUAGUGGUAAAGAUUUGCAUAUGGAAUGAGUGCCAAUUACUACAGGAAAAAACACUUGACAACUAACUUCAGACAUACUUUCAUCAGAAAAUAAUAAAACCUCGAAUGAAACUUUUUUAACUUGAAAUUUUUUUCCAUUUGAAUUCUAGCUAUCAUUUGGAAUGAAAAUAACGGCAAAUGCUGUGGAUUUUCUUCUUUCUUGCUGUCCUUUGCUCAGCAGAGGGGAACUGGAACACCAUAAUGACAUCUGCUUUCACACCAUCUUCCUCUGGACUACGACGCACAAGAGAAAGGUGCUUAUUCAA